AUUAAUCAUUUAUUUUUCGGUUUCUGUUUUUUGUUUUAACUAGGUAUUGUAUAAAUUUUGAAUUUGUGACUUCAUAGAAUUUGAUUUCUUAUGUAUAUCGAUAAAUAUUUUCAAUAAAAUUUAAAAUAAAUGAGUCAAACUUUUUAUCUAUUAAAUAAAUAAAAUUAGAAUUGUCAUUUUUUUGGGGUCAAACUAGAUCCUUAUAUUUUGGCAUUUUAAACGCCACUUAACUUAAUUUAGAUAUAUUUAAUUUUGUGAUUGAUCUAUAAAUAUACUUCUCGGUCUUUCUUAAUUUUAAAACACUAUUAGUUCAUUAUUUAAUUUAUUCUGUCAGAAAAAAAAAUAAGAUGAAAAUUUAUUAUCGAUCAUCGCUUAUUGGUCUCGUCAUGCUCACAAUUCUUCUGCUUGAAUAAUCAAUGAUCAAGAAAAAGAUGUUUAAACUUUCAAAGUAGUCAACAAAUAUACAAAAAAACUCCGCCAAGCGAGUAGUGGCGAAUGCUCAAAAAGGAGGACCAGUCCGAAAACAAUGUGUUGAACAAUACCCGGACCCAAAUGGAAAAUGUGUUAUCGACCAAUGUAAAGCCCAAUGUGC